rnacentral:rRNA from 1 species
ACUCCUACGGGGGGCUGCAGUGGGGAAUAUUGGACAAUGGGCGAAAGCCUGAUCCAGCCAUGCCGCGUGUGUGAAGAAGGCCUUAUGGUUGUAAAGCACUUUAAGUGGGGAGGAAAAGCUUAUGGAUAAUACCCGUAGGUUCUGACGUUACCCACAGAAUAAGCACCGGCUAACUCUGUGCCAGCAGCCGCGGUAAUACAGAGGGUGCGAGCGUUAAUCGGAAUUACUGGGCGUAAAGCGAGCGUAGGUGGUUUAUUAAGUCAGAUGUGAAAUCCCUGGGCUUAACCUAGGAACUGCAUCUGAUACUGAUAAACUAGAGUAGGUGAGAGGAAAGUAGAAUUCCAGGUGUAGCGGUGAAAUGCGUAGAUAUCUGGAGGAAUACCGAUGGCGAAGGCAGCUUUCUGGCAUCAUACUGACACUGAGGUUCGAAAGCGUGGGUAGCAAACAGGAUUAGAUACCCUGGUAGUCCACGCCGUAAACGAUGUCUACCAGUCGUUGGGUCUUUUAAAGACUUAGUGACGCAGUUAACGCAAUAAGUAGACCGCCUGGGGAGUACGGCCGCAAGGUUAAAACUCAAAUGAAUUGACGGGGGCCCGCACAAGCGGUGGAGCAUGUGGUUUAAUUCGAUGCAACGCGAAGAACCUUACCUGGUCUUGACAUAGUGAGAAUCUUGCAGAGAUGCGAGAGUGCCUUUGGGAAUUCACAUACAGGUGGUGCAUGGAUGUCGUCAGCUCG